AAAUUGCGUGCAAUCUUGUUCUCGUUUUGACACGUUUUGCCUAUCUAUAUUCUUUUGAUAUCAGUUGUCAUUGAGAUAUGGAUGUUGCGCGUAGGAUGUUGAUCGUAUUAAAUAUUCCAAAUUUGGAGGGUGAUAAUAAAAUUGAAUCAAGUUGAACGCGAGAGAAAAGGAAAAAAAGAUGUCGAUGCAAUCCAAAUUUUUUGCGAUUAUUCGGUAGUUGGAUCAUAGAAAAAGGAUUCGUUCGAUAUCACGUGGUCGAAGGCGUGCAAGGACAUGUCCCCUUUGGUACUUGACUUUCCUAAGAGUUCAUGGAGAGCGACCGGAUAUCCAACGUGUAACGAUCGCAUCUUCUCAGAGAAACUGGUUAUAAGAGAUAUAGAUUACAGUUUCCCCUAAUUGGAAACUUGUGGUCCACUUACUUACUUGAAACGAUGCCCUUGCGAGAUAUUCGAGACACGUUUGGAGGAGUAGAACAACGUUGUUUCGAGGCACGCGCAAGGACACGCGCCAAUCCUGGACCACGCACGCAUCCUUCUUAAGAGAUCACGAGCGGAAGUUCUCUAUUCACGACUCGGACAAUUACGGUGGUAAUCACGGUCGCUGCGUGCCUUGUUCGAGGAUCGUUUCGCCCCGGGCUCUCUCCCUCGACCACGCUCGAUUUUCCGGUUUAACCGCUCCUUCUUCUAAUCGCUCCUCUUCCUGUGUCGAACGAUCCUCCUCCCCUCUUUCUCCCCCGUCCUUGGUUUUGUCCACGCACCUCGUCGGUUUGUUGGAAAUUGCAUUCGACAGAUCCUUGCCCCUUGGCACGAUGCGACCUUGCAGCAGUCUCCGUUUGAGCACUUGAUUAUUCGAUAUUAUUGAGGAACAGCACGUUAUUGAGGAAUUGUAGAUUGAUAUCUGUAGAUUGGAGGAUAACUACCCUUUAAGCAGUUAUUCUGCACGGUACGCGAUUUGUGACUAUAGUAAUUAUGAAACGAUCGAUCCUGUUAUUACGUGUUACGAAGAUUCUUAUAUGUCUCAAUAUGUGUGUCGGGACGAUGUCAAAGAUAAUAUUUGCAGGGAUAAUUUAAUAAUGGUAAUGUAGGGGAAAUUGCGUAGUAAAGUGAGCCGCAUGACAAUUAAAUUAAAAUAUUUCGAUGAUAGGAAUUUAUAAGAUGGAGGAAAAGAAUUUGGAAAAUAGAUGUCGACUUUUUCUUAUCGAAUUAAGUUAAUAAAGAUGUUGAAAUAUUUCUUUCAAAAAUUCCCAAACAAUCGUGCAUACAUAAUUAUGAUCAAAUGAAUAGUUGUAUAAUUUGAAUGAUAUUAAUAUAAAAGAAAAAAUCUCGCUUUUCCAUACAUUUUCACGUUGUCCCAAAUCUAAAUUUUACACCAAUAUUCCUUUCUUCCAUCAAAUUAAUAUAGAUCACGCAACUUCUUCGAAAAGUAAAUGCAGAAAAACGCGAAGAGACUCACUUUUCUAUACGUUUAACGCUCCAACCAUAAAGUUUUCACACGAAUUAGAAACGCGAUUCAACGGUUCACCGGCUUUGCUCAAUGUCUCCAUCCCCGGUUUCCCACGUGCAGUGAGACAGUUACGUCAACCGAUGUUACAAAUCCGAUGCGUAACGAAUGGAGCGAGAAAGAAGCGACGAUUUUUCUCGCGGUCAUCCGAUAUAUCGAAUGAACUAUCGGGAAACCAGAGAUAGGACGAGGCAGAAAGAGAAUCCUUGGACGUAAGAGGUGUCAAUUGUUGAAGAGGUGUCUAGUUUCAUUCAUCCAACUAUGAGAAUCGGAACGCUCGUCCACAGGGAUCGACAGACAUGGAAUUUUUAUGAAUGGCCGAGGGAACGCUCUCUCGUGAGUCACUUUUCUCCUUCUCGUGGAGACGAUACACCGAGAUGAUGCUUGGAAAGGGCCAUCGACACGAUGACGUGGAAUCUUAACCCCGAACUUUCACGAAAAUAAAUCUUUCGUUUUACUCCUUCGUCGCCAGACAGUCGCCAGACUGAAUUUUUUACCCGAGAAUUUUAUUCUUUAUUCGGAUGAUUUCGGUUCGAGAAUAAAUUUGGGGAUGGUUAUUUUAAAGCUUAACAUUUGUAUAACAUUAUUUAAAUAUCGUGUAAGUAAAUACGCACAAGUUGAACGAAUGAGAUAUUGAUGAAUUUAAAAAAGAAAGUAUUGGCAAGUAAAAAUAACAGAAAUCUACUUGUCCAUAAAGUUGCUUUAAGGCGAUAUCUUUUUUAAUUCUUAGAAUCUUUUUUAAUAAUCGCAAAAUGUUGAAAGAUUCUAACGAUAUGAAUUAGUUAAUAAGAAUGUACAUAAAAUGUAGCACCAUCCUUUGACAAAUUAAGUACCGAGAGAGAUAGCUUUCAUUCGUUAAAGAAGCACUCAACUAUUUCCAAGGUGGCAAUUAAAUGCUUACAAUUAUACAGAUGAAACUAAAGGCUGCUCCUCCGCGGUAACUAUCCUCAUUAGCGAGGAGAUUGGCGUUAUCUCAUAUGAAAUUUCAGUCCUCUUGUCCUCGGCCUGUACGUACACACGGUCGAUGUCUCUAAUAUAUUUUUCAUUCUCGAACGUGGUAAUCUCAUCCUUAUAUAACUAGGAUGACUCAAUCUCAAGACAACCCGAAGAAAAUCUAUUUACAAUGGAAAAUCGUUGUACGCGAAAUCCUGGUGUAGUCGAGUUGGAAACUUUCGUUUCUGUCUACUGAAAGGAACUUUUAAUCUACUUUUAAUUCAGACAAAUUGCUUUUCACAUAUCGACAUCAGGCACAAUUUUUAAAUUAUAAUAGGACACGAAGAAUUUUAUCAAAUAUCUUUGCUUGGUUACUUAUUAAAUGUUAUAUUUAAUAAAUCUAUUAUCUAUUUAAUAAAAGUAUAAUAUAAUAAACUAAUUCACAGACAAGAAAAAAUCCUUUUCAAGUACAAGCAAUAAAGAGAUAUUCGCAACCAUCGUGAUUCAUAACCAAAUGUAUCGAACGCAAAUUUCAAGGAUAGAAAUUUCGCUCCUUUUGUCUUUAAUUAGAGCAUCGUGCGUUAAACAGGUCUAUUGAGACCGAAAGACGCAAAGGACGCGUAUGAUGGUUGAGAAUGUAAUCCGUGACGAUGCAUUCAACGACGUGUAUUCUUUGUCGAACUACCACAGUAUUUCGAACAGCGUGUCUAGGCUCGAUCAUACGUGAAUACGAAACAAGAUUUUUCAAGCUUCGACGACAACGACGACGACGAGGACGACGUUGAAUACCAAUGCGACGAAUGUCGGCCAUAGAAAUGACCAUAGCUGGCCGAUAGCGAUUGAGGUCGUACACGAGAGCCAUGAAGGAGAUCAUGAAAACUCGCCAGUUUACCGGGUUAAAAACCAACCGCAGGCUACCGCGUGAAAUGCACAGUUAAAUGGAUUGGUUGUAUAGAGUGUUGCGAACGACAGAAAUGUAAAUGAGCGUUCGAUGGAACACGAAAAAAAAAAAGAAAAAUGUUGCGCAAAGUAGGCAAAAGUAGUCGUCGUGCAGUAAAGAUAACUGUCUGCGCUCGAACCGAUGUUUGAAUAAUUUUGCCAUGGUAUUGUUAUGGAGGAAUUAACGGCUUAAAGAAUAUUAUAUUUCCAUAGAUCUUCUGUAAAUAUAUGUUUCGAGGUUAAACUAUGUGGCUCGAAAUUAAAAUCGUUUUUAUGGAGGGUCUGUUUGACUAUAGAUAAAUAAUUUCCAUUGUAAUGGAAAUACGUGUUAAUUGAGACGAGACGGUUUGAUCGUGAAAUUGAUUGAAUAAUGAUAAUCAAAUGUAAAUACAAUAGAUUGUUUAAUAUUUAUCUUUUAACUUAAGAGAUUGAAUCGAGAUCUCGAAGGAGUUAAAUGUAGUACAAUUUACAUAGAUUUGACGAUUUUAAUUAAUGUUUUUUAUACACGUUUAUACAUUUUUUUUCGUGUAAUGUUUAAAUAUUAAAAUUCCAAAAUAGCAGAUUAGCACCUUACAUGAGGUCACUUGAAAACACGUGCGCCAUCGUUUCUUGAACUCAAAGCUAUCGUAUAGCUUUUCAAGGACAAGGACAACUUCUCUUGAAAGUUACAUACAAACGGAAUACAAAUUAUUAUUUUAACCACGUAAAUCCGGAAAACGAAAAAUCAAGUUUGAUAUUAUUUUAAGGAAAUGAUAUCCUAAAAUAAUCCUUAAAUGUUAUCUCAACUUGAAUCUGAAUUACAUAUGCCUAGUAUUUUUUUUAUUAAGUAACAUUCAAAUUGACAGCAGAACGUAUUAAAUGUAUUGUAAGUUUCAAAAUUGCUGUUCAUACGAUUUCUCCAUUUAAGGGUAAGAUAAAUUUAUGUAAAAAGUUAACUGUAUUAUUCACAGUGUGAUACGCGAUUUCACAGUUCACUUCGGUGAAAAUAGCAACGUAUAAUUUCGUGAAGACGUGUCGAAUAGAAAAAGGAUCCAAAGAAAUAGAAGAGUAACUUGUAGCCAACUCAACAAGAUGACGUUGCAUUUUAUAAACUUCAGUUUAUCAUCGUUUAGCUUGGUAAUGGACCUCUUUCACUUUCGUACAAUUUAUGAUUCAUUUCUUUAUUAUCAAACAAAAUGUAUCAAGUUUAAAUAACAAAAUGAUACUCGCAUGCAAAUAUAAGUGAUCAUCGAUGAUAAUGUUAUGCAUAAUAAAAGAAAAUUAUUUAAUUUGAUAUUUGAUAUUUUUAGUAUUAAAAGAUAAAUAGAUGUUUCAAUAAUUUACAUUAUCGUAUCUGAUAUAAUGAAUUUGAUAAAACGAUGAUGUUAUUUGCAUUAGCAUAUUUCAAAUAGGUCAGUAAGAAAAUUAUUCCUCUAUAUUUUCAAAUAACAUUCCAGAAAUUACUAUUAAUUAUUCCAUUAAUUAUUCCAUUAAAUAUUAAUUUAUAUUAAAAAUUUAAUAAAAUCC